AAUAGAUACCCCGGUAGUCCACGCUGUAAACGAUGAGAGCUAGUUGUCGGUGUGCAUGCAUAUCGGUGACGCAGCUAACGCAUUAAGUUCCCCGCCUGGGGAGUACGGCCGCAAAGCUAAAACUCAAAGGAAUUGACGGGGACCCGCACAAGCGGCGGAGCAUGCGGAUUAAUUCGAUGCAACGCGAAGAACCUUACCAAGGCUUGACAUACACCAGAACACCCUAGAAAUAGGGGACUCUUUGGACACUGGUGAACAGGUGGUGCAUGGUUGUCGUCAGCUCGUGUCGUGAGAUGUUGGGUUAAGUCCCGCAACGAGCGCAACCCUCGUUCUAUGUUGCCAGCACGUAAUGGUGGGAACUCAUGGGAUACUGCCGGGGUCAACUCGGAGGAAGGUGGGGACGACGUCAAAUCAUCAUGCCCCUUAUGUCUUGGGCUUCACGCAUGCUACAAUGGCCGGUACAAAGGGCUGCAAUACCGUGAGGUGGAGCGAAUCCCAAAAAGCCGGUCCCAGUUCGGA
rnacentral:rRNA from 1 species